AUUGAACGCUGGCGGCAGGCCUAACACAUGCAAGUCGAAUGGUAACAGGAAACAGCUUGCUGUUUCGCUGACGAGUGGCGGACGGGUGAGUAAUGUCUGGGAAACUGCCUGAUGGAGGGGGAUAACUACUGGAAACGGUAGCUAAUACCGCAUAACGUCGCAAGACCAAAGAGGGGGACCUUCGGGCCUCUUGCCAUCAGAUGUGCCCAGAUGGGAUUAGCUAGUAGGUGGGGUAACGGCUCACCCAGGCGACGAUCCCUAGCUGGUCUGAGAGGAUGACCAGCCACACUGGAACUGACACACGGUCCAGACUCCUACGGGAGGCAGCAGUGGGGAAUAUUGCACAAUGGGCGCAAGCCUGAUGCAGCCAUGCCGCGUGUAUGAAGAAGGCCUUCGGGUUGUAAAGUACUUUCAGCGGGGAGGAAGGGAGUAAAGUUAAUACCUUUGCUCAUUGACGUUACCCGCAGAAGAAGCACCGGCUAACUCCGUG
rnacentral:rRNA from 1 species